AUUGAACGCUGGCGGCAGGCCUAACACAUGCAAGUCGAACGAGUGGCGGACGGGUGAGUAAUAUUUGGGAACGUGCCCAGUAGCGGGGGAUAACUACUCGAAACAGUGGCUAAAACCGCAUACUAUCGGAUCGGCCGAUAUGGGAUUAGCUAGUUGGUGGGGCAAAGUCUCACCAAGGCAACGAACCCUAGAUGGUCUGAGAGGAGGAUCAGCCAGCCUGGGACUGAGACACGGCCCAGACUCCUACGGGAGGCAGCAGUGGGGAAUAGUGCACAAUGGGCGCAAGCCUGAUGCAGCCAUGCCGCGUGUAUGAAGAAGGCCCUAGGGUUGUAAAGUACUUUCAGUCGGGAGGCGUUACCGACAGAAGAAGCACCGGCUAACUCCGUGCCAGCAGCCGCGGUAAUAC
rnacentral:rRNA from 1 species